rnacentral:lncRNA from 1 species
AGGCAGAGGGGGAGGAAGGAGGCUGGCUGAAGACCAGGAACAGAGAGAAGAGCCCACUUCUCCAUCAAAAGGUCGGUUCGGUUAACGCAUCCCCAGAGCAGGAGUUAAUCUAGGACUGGAUGCAGUGUAAAAGGCUCAAAAGAAUGUGAAUAAUGGUCUCUGUGUUCAUCAGCUCCGGAACAUUUCGCUGUGUUGAGAAGAAGAUGAAAACCAGGCUUUGCAACGCACGUAUAUGUAUCAUAAGCUAUCCGACUGAUAUAUAAACAUCUUUGCAUGUAAAUCCAAAAGAAGAGCACCGCAGAAGCCCCUGGAGGAGGGAGGGGGCUGGAGCAGCAAAACUUGGCAGAGCAAAUGUAUCCAAGGAUUUCGUGCCAGAAGGCACCUGCUUCAAUAUGCAGAAUUAAUUCCUGAGAAGCUUUGGAGGAAGAGGAAGAAAAAAUAAAAAUAAAAAUAUGAAAUUAUCCCUAAACACACACUUGAAACUGGAGACGCCUAAAGGAGAGUAGAAACGGAGAAGAUGAGAUUUUUGUGGGGACCACGGAUCAGUCAAAUGAGCAAUCGCCACGGAAAAUCCUAGGCGGAGCGGUAGCUGCCGAUGGGUCCCCUGCUCGCGUCCCCGCCGCUGCCGCUGCUACCUGUAGACACGCACAC